rnacentral:lncRNA from 1 species
CGACGCCGUUGAUUAACCCAAAUGCUUUAGAUCUGUGAGAUUUCAAAUAAAUCAACGGCGAGAUCAGACCACACCUAAAUGCGCAUAAGACACGAAGACAAACGCGAGACUAUAAGCACAGCACGUCUCUAACAGCCACUGAAGGAGGAUCGAAAGGCCGAGAUUUCGCCUUUAAAAUAACAACUUUGAGAAAAUGACUCAACGCUAAAACUGCCAUGACUCACUCAAUUGAAAUGAAUCCUAGUUUUGAGUUUUGAAGAUAUCGAGCUAGGAGCUGAGCGAGAGAAAUCAAUUGAAGCGAUAUUGUUGGUUUUACUCUGGUUCAUGUACUGGAGAAGCUUUUUGGUACAGUAGCAGUAGCCUUGGAGUCUCUGUUUUUGUUUUUGGAAAAUAUUUUUAUUGUUUAAUUUUGGUGUUUUAAAAUUAUUUUUAUUUAUAUUUUGCUUUUCUUUACUUUUGAUGUGAGCAGCGAAGAAGCGCACAGGCACAGGCUCUUUAAUUGUGGCAGCGUGCGCCGUUAACGGAAAAGAACAAAUUAAAUUAACGGCACCAACACCAAAAGGGAGAAAAAGUCGUCGCUGCUUCGGCAGUUCAGGUGCUUGCAGUGAGUGAGUGGAUACGCUGAAGUGGUACCAUGUAUUUAUUCCGUGGACAGCCAAGAAUCUAAUAUCUAGGCCGUCCGAUGUUGCCGGCAGUAGAACAUAUACUUUUCCUUAAAAAAUAUAAAAAUUAAUCGGAUGAUAGAAAAGAAAAGAAAGCAAAUCUGCUAAAUAAAGACGUUAUCGCCUUGUCAUGCCCCCAGUUGAGACCACGUAAUAAUAAUAACAAUAAUAGUGAUACGAUUUUGGCAUGUUUUG